GAUGGGAGGGUGACCUGCAUGUGACUUCUGUGACCUAAUUGAUGGCCAAGGUUAAUUCAACUGACAGAGAUGGUUAGGCAGGUAUUUUUUUCCUCCCACCCUCUAUCAUGUGUGCCCCUGCCAAAGCUGAUGCCUUGGUCAAAGAGUAUGACCUUCCCCAAUAGAAGAUGACCUUCCCCAAUAGAGGAAAACCAUUCUUCUGUUGAAGGUAUACAAGCAGCUGAACUCUCAGCUAGAAUCUCCAAAAAAAAGUCUCAAAAUUGGAGGACUCAAACUUCCUGAUAUCAAAACUUACUACAAAGCUACAGUAAUCAAUAUAGUGU
rnacentral:snRNA from 1 species